rnacentral:rRNA from 1 species
GAGUUUGAUCGUGGCUCAGAACGAACGCUGGCGGCAUGCCUAACACAUGCAAGUCGAACGAGACCUUCGGGUCUAGUGGCGCACGGGUGCGUAACGCGUGGGAAUCUGCCCUUGGGUUCGGGAUAACAGUUGGAAACGACUGCUAAUACCGGAUGAUGACUUCGGUCCAAAGAUUUAUCGCCCAGGGAUGAGCCCGCGUCGGAUUAGCUAGUUGGUGAGGUAAAGGCUCACCAAGGCGACGAUCCGUAGCUGGUCUGAGAGGAUGAUCAGCCACACUGGGACUGAGACACGGCCCAGACUCCUACGGGAGGCAGCAGUGGGGAAUAUUGGACAAUGGGCGAAAGCCUGAUCCAGCAAUGCCGCGUGAGUGAUGAAGGCCCUAGGGUUGUAAAGCUCUUUUACCCGGGAUGAUAAUGACAGUACCGGGAGAAUAAGCCCCGGCUAACUCCGUGCCAGCCGCCGCGGUAAC